CCCACCAUUUUCCCGGCAGGCCUUGCCACAGAGGCCUCUCCCGCUGGGGCCGGGGCGGGGCGGGCUGGCAGUGCCGCGGACCCGGCUCCCUCAAGCGCCCUCCCUCUCACCCCAUCCCGGCCCGCUGCCCAACCAUACCCCGACCUGGACCUCUCCCGGCGGCUGGCUCCUAGGCAUCCUCUCCUCCAGGUGCCCCGCUGUGACCUGCGGAGCUGCAGACGGACAAGACAGGGAAGCCAACCAGGAGACUUUUUAGAGCGAAAACUCACACUAAGAAAGAUUUGUCUCAGGAUACAACCCCUGGUGGACCCAAAAUAUAUGAGUCAAGAGAUAAGAAACUACUUGUACCAUGAACAUCUCCUCCAUGCACGUGGGUGAAAAUCCCCUACUGAAACACAGAGAGCACUGUAGUUGGAUCAAAAGGCUGCUGGUAACGAGAGUGACACCUAAAGCAAAGAAUCAGCUUAAGGUUAAAGCACAUAGCCUGGCAAAUGCCUGCCAGGGAAAGCAGGGUCAGCGAUAUUCUCAUCAGAGGAGUCAGAAUUGAAGGCCAAAGGCAUUAAAGAUAUGGGAUAUCAUGUAAGCGCCUCUGGCCCCUACCUCCGCCCCUCAUUCCCCUGACACCCCGUUGGCCCCUUGGGGUGAAUGGAUCCUGUACAUCUCUUUGCAUCCAAUGAAAGUCACCCAUUUUCUGUCUUUUCCUUAGCUCUUCCUGAGCCCUUGACAUAUCUGCACAUUCUGUCAUCAUCUCCUCACUGCCCAGAUGCCUUUCCUCCUUGCAGAGUGCUGAGAACAGACACGCAGACCUGCAGACAGACAGGAGACAGAGAGGGGCUGCACGGUCAGUGGACUGAAGUCACUUUCCUGAAUUUGGGCCCUCCUUGUCCAACGUUUCCUCCCCCACCUCCCCUGCAUCCAAGCCGCCAUUACUUUUCAGGCCUCAGGCACCAGACCAGGAUGCUUUCCAAACUAUUUUGGAUCUCUGGGUCUUCCUCCCGUGCAAGCAACCUGCCCCACCCCCAACCCUUUACGCUGAGGUCAAUAUUUCCUCCUGGGUGGAGAGUGUGAAAGGGAGUUAUUUUCAGAAUUUGUCUACGUUUCCCUGUCGCACUGCGGGGGCGCACUCCCCCCCCCCAUUUCAGGCUAGAAAAUGGAUGGAGGGCGCAGAGGAGGGGCGUCGAAGAGGCGGCAGGGCCAGUUGAAGGGUCCUUCCUCCCCACCUGCCCACGCCACGCCCCGUGCCCCUCCUCACCCAUCUCGGGACCCCUUCCCCUCUCCCCGCUGCUCCCGGAUCCUAGUCCCAUCCGCUUCCAUCCCGACCCCGGGCCGCCAGCAGCACCCACCUUCACACUGACCUGCAGCGCCCGGGUCGGGCCUGCGCCUACUCUGGCUCGCCUAAGCCCGCUUGCCCUUCGCUCGCCACCCGGGCAGCUCCGGAAGCUGGUUCCGCGCGGGCGACAGGACCAGACCUCGGGGCUGUGGGGGUGGGACGCGGGGGCUGCUGCCCACGUUGGCGCCCUGCCGGUCACGUGAGCGUCGCGUCACCCGAGCCCGGUUUCCCCCCGCCCCGCCCCCUCACCUACAUCCCGCAGGGACCGGACAGCUGCGGACGGGCUGCGGGGUGGUGUGUGUG